GACGAACGCUGGCGGCGUGCUUAACACAUGCAAGUCGAGCGGUAAGGCCCUUUCGGGGGUACACGAGCGGCGAACGGGUGAGUAACACGUGGGUGACCUGCCCUCAGCUCUGGGAUAAGCCUGGGAAACCGGGUCUAAUACUGGAUAUGACUCCAUGACGCAUGUUGUGGGGUGGAAAGCCUUGUGCGGCUGAGGAUGGGCCCGCGGCCUAUCAGCUUGUUGGUGGGGUGAUGGCCUACCAAGGCGACGACGGUAGCCGGCCUGAGAGGGCGACCGGCCACACUGGGACUGAGACACGGCCCAGACUCCUACGGGAGGCAGCNGUAAGGGGAAUCUUGCGCAAUGGGCGAAAGCCUGACGCAGCGACGCCGCGUGAGGGAUGACGGCCU
rnacentral:rRNA from 1 species